GAUGAACGCUGGCGGCGUGCCUAACACAUGCAAGUCGAGCGAUUCCCUUUGGAGAAGAGCGGCGGACGGGUGAGUAACGCGUGGGUAACCUGCCUCAUACACAUGGAUAACAUACCGAAAGGUAUGCUAAUACAGGAUAACAUAAGAGAUUCGCAUGGAUCUCUUAUUAAAGCUCCGGCGGUAUGAGAUGGACCCGCGUCUGAUUAGCUAGUUGGUAAGGUAAUGGCUUACCAAGGCGACGAUCAGUAGCCGACCUGAGAGGGUGAUCGGCCACAUUGGAACUGAGACACGGUCCAAACUCCUACGGGAGGCAGCAGUGGGGAAUAUUGCACAAUGGGCGAAAGCCUGAUGCAGCAACGCCGCGUGAGUGAUGAAGGCCUUCGGGUCGUAAAACUCUGUCCUCAAGGAAGAUAAUGACGGUACUUGAGGAGGAAGCCCCGGCUAACUACGUGCCAGCCGCCGCCGUAACAC
rnacentral:rRNA from 1 species